UUUAUGGAGAGUUUGAUCCUGGCUCAGGAUGAACGCUGGCGGCGUGCCUAAUACAUGCAAGUCGAGCGAACAGAUAAGGAGCUUGCUCCUUUGACGUUAGCGGCGGACGGGUGAGUAACACGUGGGUAACCUACCUAUAAGACUGGAAUAACUCCGGGAAACCGGGGCUAAUGCCGGAUAACAUGUUGAACCGCAUGGUUCUACAGUG
rnacentral:rRNA from 1 species